rnacentral:rRNA from 1 species
AUUGAACGCUGGCGGCAUGCCUUACACAUGCAAGUCGAACGGUAACAGGUCUUCGGAUGCUGACGAGCGGCGAACGGGUGAGUAAUACAUCGGAACGUGCCUAGUAGUGGGGGAUAACUACUCGAAAGAGUGGCUAAUACCGCAUGAGAUCUACGGAUGAAAGCAGGGGAUCGCAAGACCUUGUGCUACUAGAGCGGCCGAUGGCAGAUUAGGUAGUUGGUGGGAUAAAAGCUUACCAAGCCGACGAUCUGUAGCUGGUCUGAGAGGACGAUCAGCCACACUGGGACUGAGACACGGCCCAGACUCCUACGGGAGGCAGCAGUGGGGAAUUUUGGACAAUGGGUGAAAGCCUGAUCCAGCAAUGCCGCGUGCAGGAUGAAGGCCUUCGGGUUGUAAACUGCUUUUGUACGGAACGAAAAGCCCCGGGUUAAUACCCUGGGGUCAUGACGGUACCGUAAGAAUAAGCACCGGCUAACUACGUGCCAGCCGCCGCGGUAA